rnacentral:rRNA from 1 species
AAUGAACGCUGGCGGCGUGGUUAAGACAUGCAAGUCGAACGGUUUUUCAGUGUAGCAAUACAUUGAAAAAGCAGUGGCGAACGGGUGCGUAACACGUGAACAAUCUACCUUCAAAUGGGGAAUAGCUCGGCGAAAGCCGGAUUAAUACCGCAUGUGGUCGGGACUCUCCUGAGUCCCAAACUAAAGUCAGGGACCGCAAGGCCUGACGUUUGAAGAGGAGUUCGCGGCCUAUCAGCAGUUGGCGAGGUAACGGCUCACCAAGGCUAAGACGGGUAGCUGGUCUGAGAGGAUGGCCAGCCACAUUGGGACUGAGAGACGGCCCAGACUCCUACGGAGGCAGCAGUGGGGAAUCUUGCGCAAUGGCCAAAGGCUGACGCAGCGACGCCGCGUGGGGGGAGAAGGCC